UGUAAGCGUAUACCAAAGUUGUUGCAGUUAAAACGCUCGUAGUCGGAAUUUGGCAGUUCCGGAUGUGUGCACGUCGUGUGCGCACUUCGCGGGGAUUGCUUUUGUGGUCUUGCGUAGGAUGAGGCACUUUUAUUAGUGAACGUCCUCACGCAACCACUUUUUACUGUGAGAAAAUCAGAGUGCUCAAAGCAGGCAUUUGCCGUGAAUGUAUUAGCAUGGAAUAAUAGAAUAGGACUUGGUUCUAUUUUGUUGGUUUGUUGGGACUGAGUAAUGAUUAAGAGGGACAGUUGGGGGCAUUUGUAUUUCGGUGCUAGAGGUGAAAUUCUUAGAUUACCGAAAGACAAACUGCUGCGAUAGCGUCUGCCAAGGAUGUUUUCAUUGA
rnacentral:rRNA from 1 species